UAACUCGAUUUAUCGUGCGCUGUUGUAAUAUAGAAGAGACUGUGCGGGUUUGAUGUUCCACAUUAUCGUGCAUGGAUUACGUUUGAAGCAUUUGCUCGCAUUUGUAGCAGUGCAGCGUGACCAUGUAAUAUCUGGUGAUGUCAUAAAGCUAGCGGCGGCUUUGUGGACAGAUUUAAUUCAUAAACCGUGAGCUCUUCGUCGGAGCUAGCUAGCUGAGAGGUAUACAUUCCAGGCGAGCUCAGCUCCGGGUGAGUACAGCCAUGAGGGGUACUCGAUUUGCCUAAUGCACGACUGACGUCCACUAGCUAACUACUGUAUGCGAGGUACUGGUCUGGAUCUGGAUAAAAUCAACGCCGAGCUGAACAAGGAUAACAAUGGUUGAGUGAGCUUUCAUAAUAGGCACAAUUCUCAUUUAGUUUCCAAUUCAUGACAAAAGUCCUUCCAGCAUGGUCCAGUUAGUAAGAAUACAUUGAUAGUAUACAACGCAGAAUACCGCAUGAUGGUACUUACAACGCAGGGCUGUGGUCGGCGAAAUUAUUACAACAAAAACUACAACGGUAUGGUCAGCAAUUAACAUCGUCCAUCCAAUGCAAAGUUUCUCAGCAGCAGUGUUCUUCAAAGCCGAUCGCAGUUUCUCUAUCACGCUUCGUCUUGGCUACUCAACAUCUGGAAUCAGUUCACAUUACUCCCGACAAGGGACAAGGAAAUCGUGUGGAAUGCCAUCACCGGUCAUCUAUCCAUAGCCCUACAUUUAGACACAAGAAAGGAAUAGUGGUGAGGAAUGGAUUUAUCAAUGUGAGGAGAUAAGCAAAGAUGGACUUCUGCAAUUUGAUUCUACGAAAGAAACGCAACAUUUUAGCUCUUGCUGUAAUAUUGUUGACUUCUCUCUAUAUUGGGUAUUACCUUGCUAGGUACGAACAUGUUUGUGUCCCUUCCGCCAUAACCUUUGUACCCGAGUCCAACCCAUAUUACAAAGGUCAUUCACAGGGAGUGGUACGUGCGCUCGACCAUGGUUGCUACCUCCAGACUUCAAACUUUAGCCAGUACCAACAUUCUGAAGAGAUUCUGGCCAAACGCAACUGUAAGCAGAAGAUUCCCACGGCUCUGAUAUUAGGUGGUGCUCUGAGUGGCUCUGCGACCCUCAAGAGUGCUCUCUCAUUCCAUCCUGAUGUUGUUGUACCAGAGUUCGGGGUUCCCUUCGAGGACAAUGACCAAUACCUGGAUAAGAUGCCGUAUUCCCUCCCUCACCAAAUAACUGUAGGUGAAUGCCAGGAGUACCUGUAUAUGCGUAAUCUAUCCAAUCAAUCGUUGGCAGCCUUUUCUCCUGACAUUAAACUUAUCAUUCUUGUUAGAGAUCCUGUAGCGAGAGCCAUGUCAGAAUACUUGGUGCUGACGUCGAAUAGCAGUUCAGAGUUUUAUCGCAGAAGUCUUUCACAAUAUCCAGAUGUGCCAAUGGGGGCACCUAAGCAGGAAUCCCGUGCAAAAAUGAAACGAAAUGUAAAUAUACGAUCUCACAAAGAGAAAUAUUUUAAAACAAGCAAAAGGAAAGUAAGGGAAACAGAGAAGGAUAAACCUCAUCGGGAAAAGAGGAGUGCGAGUAAUAAACAAAGCUCUUUGCACAAAACAAAACCAAGUGAGAUCAAUUAUAGAUUGGAAGACACUUUUGAAGAGACGGUGCUGGAAUCAUCAUCUGAGAUAGACGCGGUGCACUUUUUGGUUCAAAGAAGUAUUUAUGCCAGCUCAUUAAAGCGCUGGGCAGUUGAGGUUUCGAGAUUAAACAUCCUAGUUUUAGACGCUGAGAGGUUUGCUAAAAGUCCAGCCGUCAUCUUGGACAGUGUGGAAAGGUUCCUUGGUCUAAGACAAUUCUUCCAUAAAGACUUCUUUAACUUUGACCUUCCCCAAGGUGUGUUUUGUUUUAACUCACCGGUUAGAUCCUGCGUAGAACCCAUUCCAAUGCAGGAGCCUCUACCUUCUAUCUCUGAAGAAGUCGUCGCCCUCUUUCGACAGUUUUUUAUACCUGCAAUGAAGGUCCAAAACCGAAUAUCUGGUGCCUAUUUUCCACACCUUGGAGAAAAUCCCUUGAUAUUCACCCCUUUCAGAUAGCGGGAUUACAGUAGCAUGUCACUCGAUUACAUCUUCAUUAUAUUACCAUAUACAUGUAGGAUUUCGUUUUAGAAAAGAAUAAUAUUAAUAAUUUAUCCACUACAAAGAUUUUCGUUUUCAUAAAUUGGUCAGUGGCACUUCACAUGAACAAAAUAUAUUUGUACUAUUUUUAUAAGUGUGACUCACGUCAGAGUUUAAUAAUUUGUUUUAGUUUUCCUCGGUGCUUAUGUAGAUAAGCUUUAUUGAAGUCAUAGAAGUGGCUGGCUUGCAGGAAACGGCUAUACCCUAUUUUGUGCCCUGUAAAAUAUAAAUGUAAUCGACACAUUCCAAACCAUAAGGCACAAAAAUUCAUGAAAAUUCAUGUUUUUGUUCGCAAACUCACCGGUAAAUUCUACCCAGCUAUAGGUUCAGUAAAUCUGAUAUAUAUGUUUCAUUCCUCAGUAUCCGAGAAAAUGGUCGCUUGUUAGAAUAAAACGUCAAUUUGUCCAAUUUUUUCCAUUGGAUAAAGUGGUUUUGAAUAUUAUUGGACAAGAUAAGCUCAACCUUGAUUAACCAGUUAAAUAUUGGGCAAAUUGCGUUUUUACAGACGUGUAUCGAUUAUUUACGUCUGGGGACCGACCUUAAACGUCACCAUCCGAAAGACGUGACUCAGUUUCGAACCGCGGUCGCCUGAGCCAGUUUGUCCGACCGACUGAUCUUAAACGUUAUCCUUUAUUAUAUGUUUGGUCUUUUUCCGACCUUACAUCAAAGAUAUGACUAGCUAAAUUCUUUUCACCCACUGGUAAAUAUUUGACCAACUAUUACCUCCCCAGCAAACUUAACCCAACUUGAUAAAAGUAGGGGAACAUUGGGCAACUUUUUCCCAACCCUAUUAUUGAUCAAGUCCUUUAAGUAAAAAUAAUCAAAUUUGUUAAAAUUGCUUAGAAAUUUAUAAAUUUAUGACCAACUAGUGGUUGCCCAACUCAAAAUAGUGUACGGUUGUAUAGAAUAUUGUGUGUGAAAGUUUAUUAUGCAAUGAUAUUCAUCCUACAUAUAUGUGUUCUAGCAUAGGAAUGGAAUUGAUUUAUUUUCAAGCUGUUGGUGGAAUGCAAGAUAUGAUAUCAAGAUAGGGUACUGUGAGAUCUCAUGGAAACAUAAUAAUGAUACCUCCUUAUAUGUAUACCCGUCACCUUUUAUUAAGGGAAUGGAGUGGUCUAAUCUAUUUUUAUACCAUGUAGUAUGGCAAAAUUACGAUGUCCUAUUACUAAUGACCACAUAUUUUGUUGGUGCAAUUUCUUCUCAAUUAUAAGAGUUCGAUUGAUUUUAAACAUGAACUAAUUUCUUACCAUUUUAAAUAGCACUUUAUGCUGAUGAUGAUAAUUAUAAUCACAGACGAAGAGAAGAAGAGACAACGAAACAGGCAUGUCUGCAUCGUUAUGGGACAUCGUUUGAUUAUGCUAAUUCGGUCCCAUAUACGUCACGAAUAUCGGCAGUGUUCGAAGAGAUCUAAUAAGUGCCAAAGUGUGACGGUAUAUUACCGUUUUAUAAUUGACAAUAACCAUUACUUAUUAAUGUAGGUCAUUUUGAUAAACUUGUUCGAUCUAACCUUCUCUCAUGCAAUGCCAAUGAUCCACGUUAAAUCAAUAUUUGAAAUUAAUGUAACUCUACUUUAAGAGAACAGCUAUGAGCCUGAAUAGCGAAAAGCCUUUAACUGGAGGCUGAUCAGUAAACUAUGUUUAAUGUCUCGUUAAAAUCAUGAAAUAAAAUGUAAGCACGUUUACAGCUUCCGUAAAAAAAUCAAUAGAGACUUACUGGCCCGAAUUCACAAAGGAGGUUUGUCGACAAACCUACUAGUAGGCUUAAGUGCGUCAUGUGACGCGUUUCGACGCGUUUUUACAAAAGUUUGUAAAAAAACGCGUCGAAACGCGUCGUAAUGACGCACAUAAACCUAGGUUUGUCGACAAACCUCCUCUGUAAAUUCGGGCCCAUGUGUCCAUAAAUUUUUUCCUGGGGCAAAGGAUGCAGAUUGCAGCACUAAAGUGGUUCUGCUUUAUACAAUUUGAUCUCCGUAUGUUUUCAGUUAAAAAUAUAUAUAUACAUGUAUCUCGUGGAAAACUGGAAACGUAAUACCUAGAGUUAUUGAAAGGUUUAUAUCUAUUUUAUCAUACGUAAACAUUAUUUUUAAUUUUAUUGAGUAUAAUGACUGAAUAAAUUAACAUGGUAGAAUCAUA